UCCGAUAUGGUGUAGCGGCUAACAUUAUCGCCUCUCACGCUGAGAUCAUGGCCCGGGGUUCAAUUCCCCGCGUCGGAA
rnacentral:tRNA from 1 species